rnacentral:rRNA from 1 species
AUUGAACGCUGGCGGCAUGCCUUACACAUGCAAGUCGAACGGCAGCACGGGAGCAAUCCUGGUGGCGAGUGGCGAACGGGUGAGUAAUGUAUCGGAACGUGCCCAGUCGUGGGGGAUAACGCAGCGAAAGCUGUGCUAAUACCGCAUACGAUCUAUGGAUGAAAGCGGGGGAUCGCAAGACCUCGCGCGAUUGGAGCGGCCGAUAUCAGAUUAGGUAGUUGGUGGGGUAAAGGCCCAACAAGCCGACGAUCUGUAGCUGGUCUGAGAGGACGACCAGCCACACUGGAACUGAGACACGGUCCAGACUCCUACGGGAGGCAGCAGUGGGGAAUUUAGGACAAUGGGCGCAAGCCUGAUCCAGCAAUGCCGCGUGCAGGAUGAAGGCCUUCGGGUUGUAAACUGCUUUUGUACGGAACGAAACGGUUCUCUCUAAUACAGGGGGCUAAUGACGGUACCGUAAGAAUAAGCACCGGCUAACUACGUGCCAGCCGCCGCCGUAA